CAGCAGUCGCCGCGGGAAUACAGAGGGUGCGAGCGUUAAUCGGAUUUACUGGGCGUAAAGCGUGCGUAGGCGGCUUCUUAAGUCGGAUGUGAAAUCCCUGAGCUUAACUUAGGAAUUGCAUUCGAUACUGGGAAGCUAGAGUAUGGGAGAGGAUGGUAGAAUUCCAGGUGUAGCGGUGAAAUGCGUAGAGAUCUGGAGGAAUACCGAUGGCGAAGGCAGCCAUCUGGCCUAAUACUGACGCUGAGGUACGAAAGCAUGGGGAGCAAACAGGAUUAGAUACCCGCGUAGUCCCUGUCUCUUAUAC
rnacentral:rRNA from 1 species